UAGGUAUGAACGAUGUUCUCAGCUCCUUGU
rnacentral:piRNA from 1 species